rnacentral:rRNA from 1 species
CCUACGGGUGGCAGCAGUGAGGAAUAUUGGUCAAUGGGCGGGAGCCUGAACCAGCCAAGUCGCGUGAGGGAAGACGGUCCUACGGAUUGUAAACCUCUUUUGCCGGGGAGCAACGGGGUCCUUGCGAGGGCCCACUGAGAGUACCCGGAGAAAAAGCAUCGGCUAACUCCGUGCCAGCAGCCGCGGUAAUACGGAGGAUGCGAGCGUUAUCCGGAUUUAUUGGGUUUAAAGGGUGCGUAGGCGGGCUGUUAAGUCAGCGGUCAAAUUGAGGGGCUCAACCCCUUCCCGCCAUUGAAACUGGCGCUCUUGAGUGGAAGAGAAGUAUGCGGAAUGCGUGGUGUAGCGGUGAAAUGCAUAGAUAUCACGCAGAACCCCGAUUGCGAAGGCAGCAUGCCGGCUUCCGACUGACGCUGAAGCACGAAAGCGUGGGGAUCGAACAGGAUUAGAUACCCCUGUAGUC